UACGGAGGGUGCAAGCGUUGUCCGGAUUUAUUGGGCUUAAAGGGCGCGUAGGUGGGGUCUCAAGUCGGGUUUGAAAGUUAGCUGCUCAACAGUUAGACGUGGCUGGAAACUGGGAUUCUGGAAUGGGGUAGCGGCUGCCGGAACGGGUCAUGUAGCGGUGAAAUGCAUAGAUAUGACCCAGAACACCGAUUGCGAAGGCAGGUAUCUACGACCUGAUUGACACUGAGGCACGAGAGCAUGGGUAGCGAACAGG
rnacentral:rRNA from 1 species